rnacentral:sRNA from 1 species
UUCUUAUCUAAAACAAGACUAGAAAAUAUUAACUGUGAUUAUUUAUUCAACUGUAUUUGUGGGAAGAGACUGGAUAAAUUCCCUGACUGACAAUCCAAUGAAUGUUAAAGUCCGCAGGGCAAACAGAGAGACAAUCUGGAAGAUUUUGGGAAUGUUCUCUGGAAACUUACCUGACAGAGCAGAGGACAUCUUCCUUCCCUCUGGAGACAAGACAGAUCCUCUGCUGUAUACACCAAAGCCUGGAGGAAUUUGUCUUAUUUGUGUGCAUAAACUCCCACAGAACUAAAUAAAGAACCCUAAGAAACAG